UACGGAGGGUGCAAGCGUUAUCCGGAUUCACUGGGUUUAAAGGGUGCGUAGGUGGGCAGUUAAGUCAGUGGUGAAAUCUCCGGGCUCAACCCGGAAACUGCCAUUGAUACUAUCUGUCUUGAAUAUCGUGGAGGUAAGCGGAAUAUGUCAUGUAGCGGUGAAGUGCUUAGAUAUGACAUAGAACACCAAUUGCGAAGGCAGCUUACUACCCGAAUAUUGACACUGAGGCACGAAAGCGUGGGGAUCAAACAGG
rnacentral:rRNA from 1 species